rnacentral:ncRNA from 20 species
GGGUGCCGUGGCGACCGCCGCGGCAGGUUCAUGCGCAGGUCGGGCCGCCGCG